UAUAUAUAUAUAUAUAUAUAUAUAUAUAUAUAUAUAUGUCUUGAGUCAUAUAGGGUGCCAAAUGUAAAAUAAAGCAUGUUAAAUGUUGGUGAGAUUUAGCAACAAAUGCUGUUCAGAUUUGUCAGAUGUGCUUAAAAAUAAAUUUAAAAUGCAUAUGUCUCAUAUUUGUACAUUUAUUUUUCAAAUAGGGCUGUUAAUCAAAAUUUAAAUAAAAUUUAACUCUCAACUAAAAUAUUAAUAGGAUUCAUUUUAUAUGAUGUUACAUUUAAUCAACUCAGUUAGUAAUAUACUAUCAUUUACUGUGUUUUAUUUUUAGCCACUUUUUAUAUUUAAUUAAUCACACCAAAUUAUCAUGUUAAAUAGACGUAAUUAAUUUUAACAAAAAUAUAACAAAAAUCAAAUAUAAAUCUAAAAUCUAAAUUCCUUUCCCUAAAAAGUACAAGCUUUCCUGUGCCUAAAAUUUAUAUUGGUAGAUGAGGUAUUUUGUUACACAGAAUUCAACAUCACAAGUAUACAUUUCACUUAUAACCAUCUAACUAUGCUUUAGUGAGGACAAAUGUGUCUGUGCUUUGUUUAAAUGAGAGUCUUACACACCAUCAGAAGCAUUUAUUCCUUACAGUUUGUCCAUGCUGAGGGAGAUAUGAAAGAUCCCUCAUGCUGAGAGAUGGUUUUCAUACAGUACAGUAUUAGCUUUCACUCCCCCUGGACAUAAAUGGAGCUGAGACUUCCAGGAAGGACCCUGCGCCAAGAUAUCUGCAGAGUGGGCUUCAUUCCAAAACCAGACAUUAUAUUAUAAUAGCAGCUUGUUCUACUACAAGGACGAACUAAAGCCUAUUUAUGAAUGAGCUAAACUUUACUAAAUACAUAUCCAGUGUUGCUACAAACCUUUGGAACUUUUCUCAGUCUAUUUAUAAAUUAGAUUUUUACAUUUUCUAAACAUAAGUAGUGCUUUUCCAUGCAAAACUUUGCAGGUUGCAAUGAAGCUGCUAAGGUCCGUAGCUUCACAGAAAAUAUGUUGUUGCACCUCCGGUGAGCAAGCCAAAAAUGUACUUAUAGAAUAACUGUUCAUUACAAGUCACAGAAUAUCUUGCAGCUUGUACUAUCUGCUCCCUGUUUUUAUGGUGUUGCUAGGGUCUUCUGGAUGGUUGUUCGAGUAUUCUGGAUGUUUUUAGGGUGCUUCUGGUGUCUUCUGGUGAUUGUUAGGCUGCUCUAUAUGCUUUAAGGUGUUGCUAUGUUGUUCUAGGUGGUUGUUAGGUUACUGCUAGAUUGUUCUGGGUAGUAGUUAGAAUGUUGCUAGGGUGUUCUGGAUGUCCUUAAUGUUUUAGGGUGCUGCUAGUGUGUUCUGGGUGUUUUUAAGGAGUUGCUAGAGUGUUCUCUAUGGUUGAUAGGGUGUUCUGGAUGUUAAGUGUGUAAGGAUGCUGUUAGAAUGCUCUUUAUGUUUUUAGGGCUGUUAGGGUGUUGCUAGGUGGUUGCUAAUAUCCUCUGGAUGGUUGUUAGGGUGUCGCUAGAGUGUUCUGGACGUUUUAGAGUGUUAUAAGGGGUGUUCUGUGUGGUUAUUCUAGAUGUUCUUAGUAUGUUAGGGUGCUGCUAGGUUGCUUUGGAUGUUUUUUUCGUUGUUGCCUGUGGUUGUUAGGUUGUUCUGGAUGUUAUUGGUAUUUUGGGGUGUUCUGGAUGUUUUCAGGGUGCUGUUAAGGUGUUCUGGAUGUUUUAGGGUGCUGCAUGGGGGUCAUUAGACCUGCAGUGAGCCAAAACCCGGCUCAUUACAAGUCACAGUAUAUGUCGCAGCUUCUUUCAGCUCCCCUUUGACCAUGAUAACAAUAAGAGGUCAUGUUGGGUGGGAGCUUUUCUUUGGCUUAUGGAUGUAGUGGGCGGAGCCUGAUCUACUGAACAGCUUCACUGGAAAAAACAUUAAGUUGUUCUCAGUUCCUGAGUCUGUGCAUGAGAGGUCGGUGGGAAAGAGUGUGAACCAGUCCAGUAGGCAGCUAUUUUUACCAUGGCUUACACUAUAUGUCUACAAGAACUGGCAGCCGGUUUCUCUCAGUCAGUGUCAAAUGUAAUCAGAUGCACAUGCAACCUGAAUGCGACUGCCUCUUAUAGAUUUGUUGGCACAUUUCAACUUGAAAACAGGUCAGCAAAAAACUGCGUGGCACGGCACACACAUGGUUCAUGUAUCAUCAAACUAGAGUAUUCUGGUCAAAAA
ensembl:lncRNA